rnacentral:rRNA from 1 species
GACGAACGCUGGCGGCGUGCUUAACACAUGCAAGUCGAACGGAAAGGCCCUGCUUUUGUGGGGUGCUCGAGUGGCGAACGGGUGAGUAACACGUGAGUAACCUGCCCUUUACUUUUGGAUAACUUCAGGAAACUGUGGCUAAUACCGCAUAGGAGCUCCUGCUGCAUGGUGGGGGUUGGAAAGUUUCGGCGGUUGGGGAUGGACUCGCGGCUUAUCAGCUUGUUGGUGGGGUAGUGGCUUACCAAGGCUUUGACGGGUAGCCGGCCUGAGAGGGUGACCGGCCACAUUGGGACUGAGACACGGCCCAGACUCCUACGGGGGGCAGCAGUGGGGAAUAUUGCAAUAUGGGCGGAAGCCUGAUGCCGCCACGCCGCGUGCGGGAUGACGGCCUUCGGGUUGUACACCGCUUUCGCCUGUGACGAAGCGUGAGUGACGGUAAUGGGUAAAGAAGCACCGGCUAACUACGUG